AGUGAACGCUGGCGGUAGGCCUAACACAUUCAAGUCGAACGGCAGCACAGUAAGAGCUUGCUCUUACGGGUGGCGAGUGGCGGACGGGUGAGGAAUACAUCGGAAUCUACUUUUUCGUGGGGGAUAACGUAGGGAAACUUACGCUAAUACCGCAUACGACCUACGGGUGAAAGCAGGGGAUCUUCGGACCUUGCGCGAUUGAAUGAGCCGAUGUCGGAUUAGCUAGUUGGCGGGGUAAAGGCCCACCAAGGCGACGAUCCGUAGCUGGUCUGAGCGGAUGAUCAGCCACAAUGGAACUGAGACACGGUCAAGAAUCCUACGAGAGGCAGCAGUGGGGAAGAUGGGACAAUGGGCGCAAGCAUGAUCCAGCCAUACCGCGUGGGUGAAGAAGGCCUGCGGGUUGUAAAGCCCUGUUGUGGGGAAAGAAAAGCGGCAGGUUAAAACCCCGCUGUCCUGAAGGUACCCAAAGAAUAAGCACCGACUAACUACGU
rnacentral:rRNA from 1 species